rnacentral:lncRNA from 1 species
AUUGGACAGUAUAGUAAAUAAGUGGAGCAUAUUUGAUUUAAAUAGAAAAAGAAAUAUUUUUUCCAAGUCUAAUGCUUUUGUAGGAAUAUUCUGUACAUAUGAAAGAAAGAAAAGGAAUGGCCAGCAUGUCUGGAGAACUGGUAUCUGUCUCCUCACUUGCUAGUGAAGGAUUGCUAUGCAUUUAUGUCAUUCUAUGUCACAGGUCAAGACAAAACUUAAGCCAAACUCUUCAGAAAGCACAAUGAGUAAAAAGCAGGAAGACACUUUGAUGAAGCUUCAUAACCAAGAAGUCACUGUUUUCUUGGAUUCUCAUCCUCCCCAGUUCACCAGGCAUCAAGAAAUCUGGUCUGUCCUGGAGAACGUUUGGACUUCAAUAUAUCAGAACAGCACAGAUGUAUUUCAAACACUGGACUCAAGUUCAACCC